ACAAUGUCUUUGGCUCCAAGAGAUAAUCAUGAGGCUCAAGUCCAAUUUGCAUUGGAACGCGGAAUUCCGGCGAUCCUUGGCAUCAUUUCCACUCAGCGGCUUCCUUUCCCCUCCAACUCAUUUGAUAUGGCUCAUUGCUCAAGAUGCCUUAUCCCAUGGACUGAAUUUGGUAAUUCCUCUCUUCCAUAUAAUGAUAAGUCUCAGAUGUAAAUUUGGACAAAAUUACAUUAUCAAUAAGUUGUCGCUGAGGUUCAUUGGUUGAUCAUAUACUCAAAAUUUCUUUUUAAUUUUCACUUAAUUUUUAGAGGUUUUAAGUAGUCAAGCAUCCAUUACAAUUACAGAGGUUUACCCUCUAGGUGGAACAGGAAUUCAGGUCAUCAAGCUUUUAUCUUUACAAAAGAAACAACUUAGAGUAAUUUGGCAGCUUUCAUCAAGUUUUCAAGGAAAUUAUGAAUAGCUUAAAAAUUAAGGUAGCACCAACAUAAUGUGUUUUCAGAACAUUUAUCAUUUGAACAGGUUUGUCUUUGUUUCUGAUGUUGAAUUAUGAACGAAAGGAUCAUGUUUGUGUUCUAUUUUUUUAUUUUUUUAUUUUUUUAUUUUUCCAUUUGCUGCUUUUCACCCAUGGAAAUGUCCUGUUUUCAGGUGGAAUAUACCUCCUAGAAGUACACCGCAUACUCCGCCCUGGAGGGUUCUGGGUCCUGUCUGGCCCACCUGUAAACUAUGAAAACCGUUGGCGAGGAUGGAACACAACUGUGGAGGAUCAGAAAAGUGACUAUGAAAAGUUGACUGAGUUGCUCACUUCAAUGUGCUUCAAAUUAUAUAACAAAAAGGAUGACAUCGCUGUGUGGCAAAAGUCCUCCGACAAUAACUGCUACCAACAACUUUCUAGCCCUGAUGUGUAUCCACCCAAGUGUGAUGAUGGCACUGAACCAGAUGCAGCAUGGUACACUCCCCUCCGCCCUUGUGUUGUUGUUCCUGAACCGAAGUACAAGAAACUAGGGCUGAAGUCCGUCCCCAAGUGGCCAGAACGGUUGAAUGUUGCACCAGAUCGCAUUUCAGCUAUCCAUGGUGGGAGUGCGAGUACCUUCAAGCAUGAUGACUCUAAGUGGAAGGAACGACUGAAGCACUACAAGAAGUUACUCCCUGCAAUUGGGACCGAUAAGAUCAGAAAUGUAAUGGACAUGAACACAGCUUAUGGAGGUUUUGCUGCCUCUAUGGUUAAUGAUCCGUUGUGGGUCAUGAAUGUGGUCUCUUCCUACGCUGCUAACACACUUCCUGUGGUCUUUGACCGGGGUCUGAUUGGGACCUAUCAUGACUGGUAAUUUUCAAAGCAUUUGAAUACACAUGAAAGCUUUUGGGUCUGCAUUAAGGCACACUUCUUGUGAACUUUGUUUCAUUUGUUUGUUUCCUGUUCUUGUAGGUGUGAAGCUUUCUCAACAUAUCCUCGAACGUAUGAUCUCCUUCACCUUGAUGGUCUCUUUACAGCCGAAAGUCACAGGUAAGGAAACAAACAUAAAGCAAAUUUACUCAGUUUCUUAAUCAUUUUUUCAUUCCUUUCCCAUGUGGUACAGUUCUCAUUUCUGCCCCGAAACUCUACUUUGGCAUCUUUGGUUCCUGAAAAGUACCAAGUAAAGGAAACAAAAUGUCAAGAAAAAUUAUUUUCUCAUGUUUGUUUUACCAUGGAAAAUAUGAAAGAAAUUUAUAUGUUUUCAAAUUACUUAAUAUAGAAAAGGAAAAAUAAGUAGUAUAAGUUUGAAGUAACAUGAAAAGUAGUCUGUUAACUUUAAUUCUAUUUUUCAUUUUUCUUUCCUUCUAUUUUCUGUCCACCAUGUUUCCUCAAAAUUUCCAAAAACCAAACAUAGGGUACAGUUCUGACAGUAGUAAGUACUUGUGCAGAUGCGAUAUGAAGUAUGUGCUCUUGGAGAUGGAUCGGAUCCUACGUCCCAAUGGGUAUGCUAUAAUCCGAGAAUCCAGCUACUUUGUUGAUGCUGUUGCCACCAUUGCCAAGGGAAUGAGAUGGGGUUGCAGAAAAGAAGAAACCGAGUAUGGCAUCGAGAAGGAGAAGAUAUUGAUUUGCCAGAAGAAGAUCUGGUACUCCUCUAACCAAAAUUCAAGGUGAAAAGAAGGAAUAGAAAACAAUACAAAACAUGG
rnacentral:lncRNA from 1 species